rnacentral:lncRNA from 1 species
CGAAAUACUUAUGUUUUCCUUUUUCUGCGUCUCACCAGAUUUGACCCAUAGAGGAUGAGAAUUAGAAUAUUGUACAGAAGGGCCGCUUGCAGCAGAGCCCUGUAAAGAAGAGCAGUCCCUUGAAAGCUGGAGCCAGUGGUGUUCUCUCACAGGAACAUGUGAGCACUUGUGGGACUUCAAGCAAUGUAUCCUCCAUUUGAUGGGUUAGGCAGAUGAGUCACGAGCUGCACAAAAGUCAGUUUUCUGUGAAGUGUGCAGCAAAGCUCUGAUGCUUGGGGUGCCCAGAAGACUGUUCUGUUAAUCACCCAUCCCUAAUCUAGAGCUUUUAAAGAGGUUAUAGGCAUUGCUGUAACGGUCGC